GACGAACGCUAGCGGCGUGCUUAACACAUGCAAGUCGAACGAAGUGGCGAACGGGUGAGUAAUACUUGGGUACCCUGCCCUCCUUUUUAGGAUAAGCCUUGGAAACGGGUUCUAAUACCGAAUAAAGGGGGAUGGGCUCGCGGCCUAUCAGCGUGUUGGUGGGGUGAUGGCCUACCAAGGCGGUGACGGGUAGCCGGCCUGAGCGGGGUACCGGCUACAUUGGGAAGGAGAUACGGCCCAGACUCGUACGGGAGGAAGCAGUGGGGGAGAUGGAACAAGGGGCGAAAGCAGGAUGCAGCGACGACGGGUGGGGGAUGAAGGCUUUGGGGUUGUAAACCUCUUUCGCUAUAGAAAGGGUAGGUGGAGAAGAAGCGCCGGCUAACUACGUGCCAGCAGCCGCGGUAAUUC
rnacentral:rRNA from 1 species